CUUUUCCAGGUGAGGAGGGCGGAGUCUUUACAGCCUGCGCUUCAGAUAGACUGUAAACACCAAAACUGGAGAAUCUCACACAGCCAAAAGUGAUUUCUGUAGCUGAACAGAUGGAGGUUGGCUUGGCUGCAGCUGAUGCCAUGCGCAGAACGGAGUAUGAAGCAGGAGCUGAUCCAGAUAUUCUUUACAGAUCCAUUCAGCUUCUCUCGAGACGGGGCAUGUUUUGUUGGAAUCCUGUUUUCAGUUACAUUUGAGCUUCGGGACUGAGGAGAAUUUUCCUUUGAGCUUCUGGAGGAGCAGAUCCAGCCUAUCAAUUGAACCAAAGAUCCAUUCGCACCUGGCUUUCUCAGCCCAAUGGACACGAGGGACCUUCAGGAGAAUAAUAGAUUUUUGCUGCUGCUGCAAAACAAGUAAAGGAACUUGCUACUGCCAGUGCCAAUACAUAUGCUGAUACACUGCGGCAAACCCAGGGAAAGAUGGAUGCUGGUACGGUUAAAACGCCACAUAACUGGAAAUUAAAGGGGAAAAUCUAAUGUUUCAGUGGGAAGUCUUCAGUGACGAUGACCCCCCGUUGUGACUCCACGGUUUGGACAUGUUGUACAGACACAUCGAUUUGUUCUCGCCAUCUCUGCCGAACAGUGGGAGUGCAUUUACACUAGGCCGUGCGUGCAGCACACUGAGUGUGGAUCUGCAGGGGUCAGGUCUAGACAAGCAGCCAUGCAGACCUACCAUACAAUCACACCUUCCAUUAGAGAUGUGCAAGCUCGACACGCAUAACCUGUAACCUCCAUUUUAUGGGUAUUUGUUAUUGUUUUGUUUGAGAUGCUGUGCUUUAAAUUUGAGAUUGUAUUUGCUUAUCACUUGACACUUAUCUCAUGUUUUUUGUUAAGGAAGGUGUGUAAGUCAUUUGAUUGGCAUGUUUAUUCAGCAGUAUAGACAGAUGACUGCUUAUACUGUAAAAUGAUAGCAGUAUUGCACAUCCAGGAAAUAUAAACACAUUGCUUGCCAAUGUCAAAUAUACACUGGUAAUUUGCAUACAAAUAGGAGGUCAGAUUUGCAUAUCAGGUCUAAAAGCAGCCUAUUAUGCCAUUCAGUCGAUGG
ensembl:lncRNA